AUGGCAUUGCCAUCUGGUACGUUGUGUUUAUCAGUGAGUAAUUGGUACAAAGUUCAGAUUAUCAGUUUAUGUUUGUCUUGGCAGAUCGAUGGUUUCGCCGCGGUCGUCGGGAGAAAUAUCAUCAAUGGUAGGGGAAAAGCAGGUAGGCUGAGGCGGGCACCCACACCAAGCGUCCGACCCAGGAAGGCAGCCCUGCAGCUCCGCCUCGUGCCACUCCCCAUCUCUAUGUUGGUGUCAGACCCACCGCAAGGUAGAGGCAGAAGAGGAGGUCGGGAAGAGAAGCUGCAAGGUAGGAGGCUUUUGAUCUGA
rnacentral:rRNA from 1 species